rnacentral:rRNA from 1 species
GAUGAACGCUAGCUACAGGCUUAACACAUGCAAGUCGAGGGGCAGCAUGGUCUUAGCUUGCUAAGGCCGAUGGCGACCGGCGCACGGGUGAGUAACACGUAUCCAACCUGCCGUCUACUCUUGGACAGCCUUCUGAAAGGAAGAUUAAUACAAGAUGGCAUCAUGAGUCCGCAUGUUCACAUGAUUAAAGGUAUUCCGGUAGACGAUGGGGAUGCGUUCCAUUAGAUAGUAGGCGGGGUAACGGCCCACCUAGUCUUCGAUGGAUAGGGGUUCUGAGAGGAAGGUCCCCCACAUUGGAACUGAGACACGGUCCAAACUCCUGCGGGAGGCAGCAGUGAGGAAUAUUGGUCAAUGGGCGCAGGCCUGAACCAGCCAAGUAGCGUGAAGGAUGACUGCCCUAUGGGUUGUAAACUUCUUUUAUAAAGGAAUAAAGUCGGGUAUGUAUACCCGUUUGCAUGUACUUUAUGAAUAAGGAUCGGCUAACUCCGUG